CUGGCUCUGUUGGCUAUGGGGCCUCGUGCUGUGCCCUGCCUGGGCCACGUGCUGAGGACUCAUCUCAGGCCCAGCUUCGGUGUCAGCCUCACCUGCCCUGUGUGUCACUGAUUCAGAGGCCACCUGAUGGUGUUACUCUCAUAGAGGGAACCCUAGAGGCUGUUGUAGAUCGCAGAAAACCCACUACACUGCUGGCCCUCAGAGAAAUUGAAAAUGCACGUGCAGCCAUCUCAAUGACCAAGGCUACCCAAGCGGCAGUUUGCCGUACUAAUAAAUGUCU
rnacentral:lncRNA from 1 species